rnacentral:rRNA from 1 species
GAUGAACGCUGGCGGCGUGCCUAAUACAUGCAAGUCGAACGAAGAUCUAGCUUGCUAGAUCUUAGUGGCGAACGGGUGAGUAAUACAUAAAUAAUCUGCCCAUAUGACUGGGAUAACUAUUGGAAACGAUAGCUAAUACCGGAUAGGUUGAUUGGAGGCAUCUCUGAUUAAUUAAAGUAGGAUUUCUACACAAAUGGAUGAGUUUAUGGCGCAUUAGUUAGUUGGUGGGGUAACGGCCUACCAAGACGAUGAUGCGUAGCCGACCUGAGAGGGUGACCGGCCACACUGGGACUGAGACACGGCCCAGACUCCUACGGGAGGCAGCAGUAGGGAAUUUUCGGCAAUGGGCGCAAGCCUGACCGAGCAACGCCGCGUGAGUGAUUAAGGCCUUCGGGUUGUAAAGCUCUGUUGUAAGGGAAGAACAUUCAGGAUAGGAAAUGAUCUUGAACUGACGGUACCUUACCAGAAAGCCACGGCUAACUACGUGCCAGCCGCCGCCGUAA